rnacentral:rRNA from 1 species
GUGGGGAAUCUUAGACAAUGGGGGCAACCCUGAUCUAGCCAUGCCGCGUGAUCGAUGAAGGCCUUAGGGUUGUAAAGAUCUUUCAGCUGGGAAGAUAAUGACGGUACCAGCAGAAGAAGCCCCGGCUAACUCCGUGCCAGCAGCCGCGGUAAUACGGAGGGGGCUAGCGUUAUUCGGAAUUACUGGGCGUAAAGCGCACGUAGGCGGACCAGAAAGUUGGGGGUGAAAUCCCGGGGCUCAACCUCGGAACUGCCUUCAAAACUCCUGGUCUUGAGUUCGAGAGAGGAGAGUAGAAUUCCGAGUGUGGAGGUGAAAUUCGUAGAUAUUCGGAGGAACACCAGUGGCGAAGGCGGCUCACUGGCUCGAUACUGACGCUAAGGUGCGAAAGCGUGGGGAGCAAACAGGAUUAGAUACCCGAGUAGUCC